rnacentral:rRNA from 1 species
GGGUCAGUAGGUUGGUCGUGCCACCGGUACGUACUGGUCUCACUGAUUCCUCCUCCCUGAAGAACCGUAAUGCCAUUAAUUUGGUGUUGCGGGGAAACAGGACUGUUACUUUGAAAAAAUUAGAGUGUUUAAAGCAAGCUAACGCUUGAAUACAUUAGCAUGGAAUAAUGAAAUAGGGCGAUCGAUCCUAUUUUGUUGGUUUCUAGGAUUGACGUA